GACGAACCGUGCGAACGUUGUUCGGAAUCACUGGGCUUAAAGGGCGCGUAGGCGGGCUCACAAGUCAGGGGUGAAAUCCCACGGCUCAACCGUGGAAGUGCCUUUGAUACUGGUGGUCUGGAGUGGGGUAGGGGCAUGCGGAACUGGUGGUGGAGCGGUGAAAUGCGUAGAUAUCACUAGGCCCGCCGGUGGCGAAAGCGGCGUGCUGGACCCCAACUGACGCUGAGGCGCGAAAGCCAGGGGAGCAAACGGG
rnacentral:rRNA from 1 species